CCCCCCCCACCCCCCCACCCCCAUUCCUCCGUCAAAGCCCCAUGCAGAGUCGUUUACACGCAUGUUUCCUCGUGAGCUGGCAUGUCAUUUCUGGCCAUCUGUCGCUUACUCUUACUGAGGCUGCUCUCUCUGGUUUUGGUUUUCCGAACUUCGCACCGUACCGUGUCUUUCUGGCUCUGGUGCUGUUUCCGAGCUCCGGGUAGAGUGUUGGACGGGAGGAGAAUGAACGGGGUUGCUGUUGACCAGCUUUGAGCUCUGCUGGAGACCUGGCUCUGCCCCCUACACCCCCAGCAGGUCGGCCUUGUGAGCUUUGUAAGCCCCAGGUUCCGGUGGGAGGGGCUGCGUGUGGACAGCCCCAGUCUUAGGGGACACAGAAGGUUUGCCCCUGGGGCAGGGAACAAGGUCGUUUGGUGGGUGAGGCGUUACUGUGACCCAAUGUGGGUGUGUUCCUGGGCCCUGACUGUAAAUAUACCAGAAGUGCUUUCCUGCCUUGAGGCUUUAGAACUGAGAUUAAAACAAAACAAAACAAAAAAAAUCAACUCCUUGUGAAAUGUCAUUGUUAGGGAAUUUCAAUACAGGGUGGCCUUGACGAGGGGACCUGUCAUUACUCUGGCCGAAGCAUCUUCCUGGGCAGUGGGGCUGUCUCUGGGCUCCUUCCCCGCAUGAGUGACACGGGCAUUGCAGGUGUGGCGACAGAUGUGUCUUUCUCUCCCCGACCCUCCUCGGUGCUCUGCCCAGGCCCUCGGGCACACGCCGGGCACUGACCGGUACUUGCCGAUGGUGGACAAAAGCCGCCCCAGCGCCCCCUUACAGGCUCGCCUGAGACACUGGACGUCGAGGCGGCAGAAGCCCUGGCUCCUGUGGCCAGUGGUGGUUUCCUGGGGGGCGAAACUGGGGGUUGGGAGAGACCGACCUGGGACAGAAGCUUGCUCCCUGCCCAGGCGACCCCGAGAGGAAAGGCUUGAGAAUCUGCGUGGUGCCUCGCCUGUCCUCGCUAGACACCCACACCCGCUUUUCAUGGGCUUAUUCCCUGCGGGGGCGACGGGCAGGACUCGGGUCUCGUCUGGUCUGACGGCCAGUGUAGUUCUUGACGGUCGGCUGUUUUGGAAAAACUCGACUUUAGCUAAACACUUUGGAGGUCCCGGGAGAGUAUGCCACUGGGGUUUACCUCUGUGAACUUAUCUUCAUUGUCCCUUCCUCACCUUGGUGUCUUUGCUCCAGAAUGUUCGCAGUUUCCAUACGUGUAGCACUACCGCGUUCGGACCUGGAGCCUGAACACCCUUGAGUUUAGCUGGGUGUCGUCAUCCCCACACGGGUACUUUUGGUUACACGUUACGAAAAUUAUGGGCAAGUGAGUGCUUCCAUCAGGCUGACUUAAUCUGAGGACACGUUUAAAAAGAGGAAAGGCAAAGCAAAACUCAGGUUUUAGUUCUGUCGAGUAAUUGUGUGAGAUUGGACCCCUCCUUCCAGGACCAACACGCCCCCCCAUGUAGGGCCGCACUGGAAUCCUCCCCAGAUCCCCUGGGGGCUGGUUUGUGUGGGCGCAGCCUAUGGCUGGUGGUAUAUGUGAAAAGAAGGGAAAGGUGCUACGUGUAUCUAAAUAAACAGUGAAACCGA